CACCAGCGCCACAAGUGGGGCCGCAUUUAUUUGGCCUAAAGCGUCCGUAGCUGGCCUGGAAAAUCCUUUGUGAAAUUGUGAGGCUUAACCUUACAACGUGCAGGGGACACUACCAGGCUAGGGACCGGGAGAGGUAAGGAGUAUUCUUAGGGGAGCGGUAAAAUGUUAUAAUCCUAAGAAGACUACCAGUGGCGAAGGCGCCUUACCAGAACGGGUCCGACAGUGAGGGACGAAAGCCAGGGGAGCGAUC
rnacentral:rRNA from 1 species